AUACGUAGGUGGCAAGCGUUAUCCGGAUUUAUUGGGCGUAAAGCGAGCGCAGGCGGUUUUUUAAGUCUGAUGUGAAAGCCCUUGGCUCAACCAAGGAAGUGCAUCGGAAACUGGAGAACUUGAGUGCAGAAGAGGACAGUGGAACUCCAUGUGUAGCGGUGAAAUGCGUAGAUAUUAGGAGGAACACCAGUGGCGAAGGCGGCUUGCUGGACGACAACUGACGCUGAGGCUCGAAAGCGUGGGGAGC
rnacentral:rRNA from 1 species